rnacentral:rRNA from 1 species
AGAGUUUGAUCCUGGCUCAGAUUGAACGCUGGCGGCAGGCCUAACACAUGCAAGUCGGGCGGUAACAGGGAGAAGCUUGCUUCUCCGCUGACGAGCGGCGGACGGGUGAGUAAUGUAUGGGGAUCUGCCUGAUGGCGGGGGAUAACUACUGGAAACGGUAGCUAAUACCGCAUAAUGUCUUCGGACCAAAGUGUGGGACCUUCGGGCCACAUGCCAUUUGAUGAACCCAUAUGGGAUUAGCUAGUAGGUGGGGUAAUGGCUCACCUAGGCGACGAUCUCUAGCUGGUCUGAGAGGAUGACCAGCCACACUGGAACUGAGACACGGUCCAGACUCCUACGGGAGGCAGCAGUGGGGAAUAUUGCACAAUGGGGGAAACCCUGAUGCAGCCAUGCCGCGUGUAUGAAGAAGGCCUUAGGGUUGUAAAGUACUUUCGACAGGGACGAUGAUGACGGUACCUGUAGAAGAAGCCCCGGCUAACUUCGUGCCAGCAGCCGCGGUAAUAC